rnacentral:rRNA from 1 species
GAGACUCUGUGCGCGUGCAUAUCAAUAAGCGGAGGAAAAGAAACUAACUAGGAUUCCCUUAGUAACGGCGAGUGAAGCGGGAAGAGCUCAAAUUUGAAAUCUUCAAGGUUUUACCUUGACGAAUUGUAGUUUAAAGAAGUGUUUUCUGUUGGAGUUUUGGUAAAAGUUCUUUGGAAUAGGACAUCAUAGAGGGUGAGAAUCCCGUAUUUGACCAUUAUUUCCAACUAUGUGAUACACUUUCAAAGAGUCGGAUUGUUUGGGAAUGCAGUCCAAAAUGGGUGGUAAAUUUCAUCUAAAGCUAAAUAUUGGCGAGAGACCGAUAGCGAACAAGUACCGUGAGGGAAAGAUGAAAAGAACUUUGAAAAGAGAGUUAAACAGUACGUGAAAUUGUCAAAAGGGAAGUGUUUGACACCAGUGUUGUUUUCUCGAAAAUCAAUUAAAAAAGGCCGGAUUUUGUGUUGUAUUGACCUUAAAAGCUUUCUUCACUCUUUUCUUGUCUUUUUUAAUGCACUUUUCGUUUAACAAGUCAACAUCAGUUUCUUUUGUUGUAAAAGGGUCAUUGGAAGGUGGCUUUCUUUUCGGAGAAAGUGUUUAUAGCCUUUGAUCUCUGCAACCGGAGAGACUGAGGUCUGCAGCGUAGACUCUUCGGGGUUAGAUACAUUUGUGCUAAGCUAUAGCUUUUUAUAGACAACUUGUUGACUAUAUUUAGUCUUGUGGCUUACUCGCUUAUGCUAUUUUACCUACGCUUAGGAUGUUGAACUCUAUCACACACAG